rnacentral:rRNA from 1 species
CUUUAGUGGCGAACGGGUGCGUAAUACGUGAGAAUCUGCCCUUAGGAGGAGAAUAACUUCUGGAAACGGUUGCUAAGUCUCCAUAUGCCGAGAGGUGAAAUAGUUUAUACUGCCUAGGGAUGAGCUCACGCCUGAUUAGCUUGUUGGUAAGGUAAUGGCUUACCAAGGCCACGAUCAGUAGCUGGUUUGAGAGAACGAUCAGCCACACUGGGACUGAGACACGGCCCAGACUCCUCCGGGAGGCAGCAGUGAGGAAUUUUCCGCAAUGGGCGAAAGCCUGACGGAGCAAUACCGCGUGAGGGAUGAAGGAUUUUGGUCUGUAAACCUCUUUUCUCAAGAAAGAAGUUCUGACGGUACUUGAGGAAUAAGCAUCGGCUAACUCCGUGCCAGCAGCCGCGGUAAUACGGGGGAUGCAAGCGUUAUCCGGAAUCAUUGGGCGUAAAGCGCCUGUAGGUUGUUUAAUAAGUCUGUUGUUAAAGACUAGGGCUUAACCCUAGGAAAGCAAUGGAAACUGCU